rnacentral:lncRNA from 1 species
UUUCGAAAUUGUGAUUUUUUAAGAAUAUGUGGUUGAAAAAUAAGAAAAAGUUUUAGAUUUGCAUAGAAUAUUAUUUUAUUAAAAAAUGUGAGAUUAAAAAGGAAUUUUGAAAAAAAUACAUAUUUGAAAAAAAAAAAAAAGGGAAAAAUGGAGCCCAAACAAGACUUUGCAUCACAUCAUCCCUGAGGUAUUUUGGAUUUAAUUCUAUGACGUUGCUACAUGUACACCCCUCUUUACACUUUGGCUUACCAAAUUUACACUUAACACAAUUUCACACCACUUUUCACGUCUCACACUAUUAAUCCGACCAUUGUAAAACUGUAACAUCAACCAUCUGUCAACCAAGUGGUUGAAGAGAGAUGUGCAAAUAGCUUUAUCCUUAAUUCUAUUACUAACGUCAUGUGACCAUUUAUUUUACUAUUUCUUCCUUGUAAAAGAACAAUAAAAACUGUCUAAGAUAUUGAAUGAAUAAACUUACUUCUACAAUUUAUACUCUUGAAUAGUUAAACGAUCAGUUUAGUAUUUUGGCAUCACUAAUUUAAAACGUAAAAAUUGUGAAAAGAUGAUUGUUGUAGCUUAAUUUGUUUUCGAAGUUCAUGUUAUAAUUUAUGAUGUUAGGAACGUUAGAAGAUGGUUCAUGUAUUUUUUUCAAAGUUGAUUUUAUCUCGUGUUUUUUCCCCUCAAUCGGUUGUUGGUUUUGUUGCCAAAUUUCUUUGAAAAUAGUGUUAUUAUAAAUCAGACUAUGAAAGGAAAAUUACGCAAAUUCUUUUAUAUCUUUAGUCUUCUUGGCUUGGUUAUUUUUACUUCAACUGAUGAAAUUUCCUUGGUUUAGGCUACUUGCACUUGAAUGCAUGUAUAUUUCUGAAUAAAAUUUGAGCUUAUAGAUCAGAAAAGGAGAAUCUUGUGGCCACAACCAACUAAAGAUCAUUGCCAUUCUCACGAAUUAUUGGAUUCGUGUCUUUGUACCCCUAUCUCCUUUAUGACUAAACGAUUAUUUGAGGGUCUCAGCUAGUGAUAUGGUUGUUUUCAUGUCGAUGAUCCCUAUCAUGUCACUGGCCAACCUUGAUCUUGAUAUUUUGAGGUCAUAUCUAAGAUUCUGAAUUUGGAUAGACACAAUAUAACACAAAGUCAAUGUAAUUAUAACCGCCUACUAGAAGUUUUUGAGAACACUUUUAUUUUUUAUUUUUUGAACAAUUCCCCUUGGAUAGGGGAAUGGUUCGCAGAAGUUUUACAGGUACUCCGUGUUUGGUCCUUUUUUUUUUUUAUAUGUACAAUCAUGAAUGACAAUCUUUGUUGGCAUCAUUACAUGUAUCCAUUUUUUGAAUUGUCAAAAACUGUUUUUUAAAUUAUUGAUCAGGAUUUCGCCACCUCAGACAUUGUCAACAAUGUUUGUCCAUUGUACAAAUAGUUUAAUUCUUCAAUAAAACACUGUCAACUACCAAGCCUAUAAAAGACCUGUGAAAUUCCCCCGGCAUUAACUCGAACAAG